rnacentral:pre_miRNA from 1 species
AGAGGGACAGCUGGGUCAAAUGGUGGCUCCAUUCCCAAUUUUCUGAGAAAUCUCCAUACUUCUUUCCAUAUUGGCUGCACCUUUGCAGUUCCACCAGCAGU